rnacentral:lncRNA from 1 species
UAUAUCAUUUCGCGAAGUAGACGCUUGCUCCUCAUGCUCGGUCUUCCUUGCACAAGUAACUGUCGAAUAUUUAUUCGCACCAAGUGUUCUUCUUGGGGCCCUGCUGCUCAGUAGACCUUGUGAGAUCGCUGGUGUUGAAUGGUAGUACUUUCUACCACAACCACAUCCAGCUGAAAUUUUUCCCAGAAAAAGGGUAAAAUCAAAAGCAACAACAUCCAGCAUUAUUUUACAUAAAAAUGCAUGCAUAAGAUUAAACCUGAGAAAAGGGGGCGAGAGCGGCGAAGAAUAAAUCUACUGGCGACAUUCUUAGGGCAAUUGGCUGAGGAAGAUUUAAGCAGAUUGGAAUCGAAAUUGAAAUGGACUUGGAUUGAUUUGGUGUGCAUUGUGGAAGCCAAUUUCAUGGCUUCAGAAAUUUGUUUUUGUUCACCCAGCGCCCGCGCACAUCACUCUCAACGGUUGCUGAGUUCCAGCGCUCGCUGGCUUCUUGGCCGCGGGCGCUGGAACUCAGCGCUCGCUUAAAACUUCAUGGAUUUCAAUUCUCGUGGUUCUUGGCCGGAUUUCGUUGUGUG